rnacentral:lncRNA from 1 species
UGUAUUAUGCUUCUUAUUUCUCCACUGCUACACUCAUAAAAUACAGAAUCUCCCAUUCAUCUUCUACAUGCACUUCUGUUGGGGAACUAUUCAUGUUUGGUUUCUUUGAUGAUUUUUCUCCUUCCUCUUCCUUCAUUAUUUUUCAUUCUCCUCUUCAUUUUCUGUUACUUCUUUUCAUUUCUCAAGUGUUUCAUGUCGGUAAAUUCUUUUACUUUAUAGUUUAAUUAAGCGUUUAAGAUUUUAACCUAAAUUUUAAAAUUGGAGAUUUUUACAAUUCAAUCAAUCUUCAAGCGGUUAAAUAUUCUCAAAUACAGAUAGUGUUUCUUGGAAUUUCAAGGGAACAAAUUGGCGAAGACUACAAUAAAGAUGCUUGAUAGUGCUAUGUGGGGCUCAUAUAGAGAGGUAAGGAAUUGAAUUUCACAUCCUGGGUAAGCUAUAAGGAUUCCUUUGCCAACUUUGAUCUUUCAUUUAUUGGGAUUUUAAUUUUUGCUCUUUCUAAUUCUCCUCUUUCUCUCUCUGUUGACUGUUGUUGGAUUGCAAUUGUUUGAACGGUAAAUGAUAAUCAAAUCUUUGCUACUUCUUCAUUUCUAUAAUCUUUUUUCCUGCAAUCUCAGUAUAAUACAACUGCCUCGCCGAACUUGUUCUCUUGGCUAUUGAAAAUCUUAGUCCUAUUUGCUAUAUCUCACCAGUUAUCUUUGAUUUUUGCAGGUUUAAUGACUUUUGAUGAGGAAAAAAUAUUGUUGGGAUGUUAGUGGCUAAAUUUAUUCUCCCAAAUCCCAUUCCAUUGCCUCAUUGUGGUAUGAUAUGGAUGAGUUGUUGUGACUUUAAGCUUACCCCUCCUCUUUUCCUCCCUUUUUUUGUGGCUAUAUUUCUUUUAUGUGCUUCCAUUUUUGGGUGCAUGUCGGUUCACUUUGUCUUCUUUAACAAUUGCGCGUAUGAUUUUUUUCACGGUUUGUAACUUUGAUGAUCUGGCUGUGGUAUGAAUAUUCAAUUAAUUAGACAAUUGAUCAUUCCUUCCAACUUGGCAUGCAUAUCUCUUCUACUUGAUUUUCCUAGAGCUAAUAGUUGAGUUGACAUUGGAUGCCAUUGGUGAUUACUUAAGUUCUUUGUUAGUUGGGAGAUAGAAAUUGAAACAAGUUUAUAUUGAGAAGAGUUGUUUUGUAGUUUCUGAGCAGCGAAAGUAGUUUACAAAGUCGUUGGUUUACUCUUGAACUUAAAUGCAAAUGCAAAAAUU